UGUAGUCAUAUGCUUGUCUCAAAGAUUAAGCCAUGCAUGUCUAAGUAUAAACAAAUCUAUACUGUGAAACUGCGAAUGGCUCAUUAAAUCAGUUAUAGUUUAUUUGAUAAUACCUUACUACUUGGAUAACCGUAGUAAUUCUAGAGCUAAUACAUGCUAAAAAACCCGACUCUCGGAAGGGUUGUAUUUAUUAGAUAAAAAACCAAUGCGGUCUCGGCCGGUUAUUUGGUGAUUCAUAAUAACUUUGCGAAUCGUAUGACUUUGCGUCGACGAUGAUUCAUUCAAAUUUCUGCCCUAUCAACUUUCGAUGGUAAGGUAUUGGCUUACCAUGGUUACAACGGGUAACGGGGA
rnacentral:rRNA from 1 species